UAAUUCAAUCGAAAUAGGGAAAAAAGGGAUCUCCGUUUUCUUCAAGUCAAGAAAAAAAGAACAGCCGAUCGAAGGAAAACAAGAAGCGGUCAUGAACAGGCGACAUUCUCCAAUCGAAAGACGAGGGAGGUCGUCGUCUCCGGGAUUGGUGAGGCCGAAGCAACGUAGCUUCCCUCUUCUUGUCCCGCUGCGAGGCGUGAAGUCCGGGAGUCUCAAGCAGAAGUAGCACUGAAGCAGGCGUGUUUUCAGUGAUCAAUCGCGAGAUGGAUUAUUGUCUCCGGGGUUCGACGGCCGAAGGGGAGAAGCAGCGAAGGGUCAGGUAUCGCCAGCAGCAGCAGUGACGAAGGCGGGGUGUUGGCGUCGUUGCUCGGUCUAAGGGUGAACGGGGAAUGCAAGGAAAACUACCUAUGAGGUGAACUCGAAGGGAUAAUGGUCCAAUCGAUGGAACAGAUGGUGAGGAGGCGUUGGUCUCCAGCGAUUUUAGGGAAAGAAGAUAGAUCAACACAAGGAUAUCUAGGGUGUUUGGUUUUGGUUCCUGGCUAAAAAUCAAAGAAGAAUAAAGAACACUAACAAAAGAUAUUCAAGGUUGUUUUGAUUUUGAGUUUUUUGAUAGACACCAAUAGGGGAAAUGGGUUUGAUGUUCUUAGUCCAUUUUUGAGAUUGGAUCGAUGAUUAUCAGUACACAAUACCAUACUUGUAUAGAAAUAUCAUUGUUUAUGUAAAUUUUACGGUUGUGUUUGAAUGUUCUAACAGUGAAGAAGGAGUGCACGGUUCAAUUUAGAAAGGGAAAGCAAACACUCAAUUAGUUGUACAAAAUAUAACUUAGAAAGGCAACACUCAAUCAAUUGUACAAAAUAUAGCUUAGAAUAAUUUGGCUGUCGUUAUUUAUGUCUUUAUUUAUUUAUUUAUUAUUUGUAUUUGGUAGAUUAAAUAGAUGUAUUUGUGUAUGUGUUGUAAAAUCGUAAUUUUGUGUACAUUUAACUUUUUGGAAUUGUAUAUGAAAUCUUCAAUUUGAUUUUUAA